rnacentral:rRNA from 1 species
AACGAACGCUGGCGGCAUGCCUAACACAUGCAAGUCGAACGAGACCGUCGGGUCUAGUGGCGCACGGGUGCGUAACGCGGGGGAACCUGCCCUUAGGUUCGGAAUAACUCCCCGAAAGGGGUGCUAAUACCGGAGAAUGUCUUCGGACCAAAGAUUUAUCGCCUUUGGAUGGGCCCGCGUUGGAUUAGCUAGUUGGUAGGGUAAAAGCCUACCAAGGCGACGAUCCAUAGCUGGUCUGAGAGGAUGCUCAGCCACACUGGGACUGAGACACGGCCCAGACUCCUACGGGAGGCAGCAGUGGGGAAUAUUGGACAAUGGGCGAAAGCCUGAUCCAGCAAUGCCGCGUGAGUGAUGAAGGCCUUAGGGUUGUAAAGCUCUUUUACCCGGGAUGAUAAUGACAGUACCGGGAGAAUAAGCACCGGCUAACUCCGUG